UAAGAAUUAUUUUAAUUGAAGAAUUUUUGAUUGUUGGUCAAAAGGUGUAUUUCUUAG
rnacentral:tRNA from 1 species